UCUGUACACUCUGUGUGUAUAUGAAUGCAUUAUUUUCCUAGUCUAUAUUUACUGUUAAUUAGACUUUUUAUUCUUCACCAUUUGAAAGGCAUGUAUAUGUGGUUUCUUUUUAACCAGCUUUAUUGAAGUAUGAUAAACAAAGAACAGUGCAUACUCCAGGUGGACAGUUUGAUGAGUUUGGAUAUCUGUAAACAUCUGUGAUGACAUUAUAAUUCCAUCACCCAUGAUUAAGUUCCAAGAGUCAGGGGACUUUGCUCAGUGUUGUAUCCUGCGAGUCUGGACUAAGAGACAGAAAACUGUCCCAUCUCACAUGCCAGACUUGUCAACUGAAGAAACAGAAGAUAAGAUGUAAUGUCAUCCUUCCUCUUCUUGCCUCAACUUUCAAAGACAGGAGCCUGGUCUGUUUCUGUUCUCCUUCUGUCAUUGUCCCAAAACUUACAUGAAGAAUUCUCCAGUCUCUGUAGACUCUGAAUAUUUUAUUAUGUUGCAACAUCUCACUACACUCUUUGUUCGCUGAAAGCAUACCCUAAAAUUUAAUGGACUGUCCACUACUGCUGAUCACUGCUUAGGAAAGCAGUGGAGCAGCUGUGUGAUGGAAUGACAAGGAGCUUAUAAAGAGCUCAAGAAUGGCUUUCCAUCAUGAGAAGAAGAGAAUGGAAAUUGCUUCAAGGAAACAAGUUUUAUAAUGUGGGUUGUCUACUCUUUUGGUAAAUAAAUGGAAACUUAGAAAUAAUUUUAGAAAGUAGCAAUUCAGGAUAAAAUUUUUAGUGGAGGAAUUUCAAGGGGAAUUUACUAAUGUUAUGUAAACUAGAGACUUUCAUUAAGAAAUUAAGCAUUUUACAUUAAUGUGACUUAACAAAUAUAAAAGGAGAAAAGCAAUACAAGUGAUGCAAAGUUCAAUGCCUGUACAUAAUUAAUUGGUUAAUAUCCAAUAAUCGUAAUGUAAUGAGUUUUUGUCACCUCAUGCUGAAUUUAAUGAAAAUAAAGCAAAUGAGUUAGAAUUUUUCAAAGAUUA